rnacentral:rRNA from 1 species
UACGAAGGGGGCUAGCGUUGCUCGGAAUCACUGGGCGUAAAGCGCACGUAGGCGGAUUUCUAAGUCAGGGGUGAAAUCCUGGAGCUCAACUCCAGAACUGCCUUUGAUACUGGGAAUCUAGAGUCCGGGAGAGGUGAGUGGAACUGCGAGUGUAGAGGUGAAAUUCGUAGAUAUUCGCAAGAACACCAGUGGCGAAGGCGGCUCACUGGCCCGGUACUGACGCUGAGGUGCGAAAGCCAGGGGAGCAAACGGG